CUGUGCGAUCCCAUAAUGAGCUCCUCUCUGUGGCCCUGCGGACCAAGCUUCCAGAUUUAUUUCCCCUAGAAAGUGGAGUUCUGCGAUGCCCUUGGUGCAGAAUGUAAGGGUGGCAAUCGUGUAUACGAGGCUCAGGAGGAACUGGAAGUUGCAGUUAACACUGUGUGUGUGUGUGUGUGUGUGUGUGUGUGUGUGUAACAGAGGUUACUGGGUGUUGUUCCCAGGAGCCAUCUACCCUGUUUUAAAGACAGGCUCUUAAGUCUGGACUGGCUGGCUGAUGAACACCAGGACCCACGUCUGUCUGUCUCUGCCUGCCCAGUGCUGGGGUUAUAAAGCGCACACCAUGGUGUCUCUUUUGUGAGGAGAGGCGCUGCAGGUGAGGUGCAUGUUGGGAAUAUAUGGCAGCUGCCAGGCGCAAGAGGGUCUUCGUCGCCUAGGAGUGACUUCAUCGUUGGAUUCGGAGGCGACUAUAAACAGCUUCUGAUGCCAACAAUUAGGACUGACCUCCUACUCGAGAGCCUGACCACAAUGGAAGCUCCUGCCUGUGCUCCGCCACCCUCACCUCUGCAGGGAUGAUCCACCUCCUCCUCAUGACGCCCUGCAUGGGUGGCGUCAGGGACAACUGCCUUUCAGUGCCGGUUGUCCCAUGUUUGUCUCACUGCAUCUGGGUAACGUACUAGGACCCACAGGGCAGAAUAAUCGUUAGGAGUCAAGAGGGGCUUACGUCAGUGUUACCCUGAUUCAAAUUGUUAUGCCACUCCAGUGCCCCGUCUCCGAUCAAAACCUGCUAUAUCUGUCAAUCCCACAAGGUACCUGCGCAGUCGGGGUAAGGCAAAGCAGCAAUAAAGAAUAUACUGCUUUUAAAUAAGAGCUCAAGGUGAAUACACUGAUUUUAAAUAGUAGCCCAGGCUGGCAGGUAGCUGUGUGUAAAGCAGUUUCUCGGGGACUCAGAAUUCUUCUACUAAUCUGUCACCCCCAACAGGGUAAUUUAUUGUCUGUACAUCAUGAGUUCUUGUAGUUUAGAUGCCAAGAAAACCAAAUGUAGGUGUCUGUAUGUCACAGGAGAACCAGUGUUUCCUUCGGCAGCUUCUCAAUAUCACCAAUAAUAUAUAUGUGUGUGUGUGUGUGUGUGUGUGUGUUUGUUUAUUGAGACAGGGUCUCUGUCCUGGAACUCACUCUGUAGACAACUCACACCUCACAACUAAAGGGAGGCGGGCUGCGGGCUGCGCAUCCUGGUGGUCACUGUGUGUGUGUGUGUGGGUGUGUGGGUGUGGCGGGCAGAGAAUGGGGAGAUUGAAGAGAGGAGGGGAAGAGAGUUGAGCCUUGCCCAGGCUCUACUUGAAGGUCUACAAGCUGUAGAGAGGCGGGUGGCAGCUGGAACAUGCUUGGAACUUGUUUGGCCUACGAAGAAGAGAGCAGAGGUGGGAAGGGAGAGUUAGGGGGUUUUUUGAGGUAGAACUCAGAAAAGGGGCAGCCUUCACGAUAAAGUCUACAAGCAGCUGCCUCGACGGAGGGGCUCCUCUCCCAGGGUCGUGUACUGUGAGCACCCCACACGCUUUGGGGCUCUCCGCUGCCUGCAGCUGGUAUCCAUUGCCCAGGAGGUUUCUCUUUCACUGGGCACUGGCUCCAAACAAGUCCUCAGUGACUCUGCCCAUAUCAAU